CUAGUCGAGUGUCUCUGCGCCGAAAAUGUACCGGGGCUAAAACAUAUUACCGAAGUUAUGAAUUUAUAUUUAAUAUAGAUGGUAGGGGAGCGUUCUAAGGGCGCUGAAGGUAGACCGUGAGGACUACUGGAGCGCUUAGAAGUGAGAAUGCCGGUGUGAGUAACGCUAGGAGGGUGAGAAUCCCUCCCACCAAUUGACUAAGGGUUCCAGGGUACGGUUCGUCUUCCCUGGGUUAGUCAGGACCUAAGCCGAGGCCGAAAGGCGUAGGCGAUGGACAACAGGUUUAUAUUCCUGUACUGGCUAUAUGACUGAUGGAGCGACGGAGAAAGCAAGUAAGAGCCUAUUAUUGGAUUUAGGUCUAAGCACAAAGAGUGAUGCGUAAGUAAAUCUGCGACAUUAUUAAACUUGAAGUGCGAUGGCGAAGGGUCCCACGGGAACCAAAGUCUUAUGCAGCUAUGCUUCCAAGAAAAACUUCUAAAGAUAUCAUAUAGUUACCUGUACCAAGUACCGACACAGGUGGUCAAGGAGAGUAUCCUAAGGUGAGCGAGAUAACCAUGGGUUAAGGAACUCGGCAAAUUGCCCUGUAACUUCGGGAUAAAGGGAGGUCUCUUCGGAGACCCACAGAAAAAAGGCCCAAGCAACUGUUUACCAAAAACAUAGGUCUCUGCUAAAGCGAAAGCUGAUGUAUAGGGGCUGACGCCUGCCCAGUGCUGGAAGGUUAAGAGGAUAGGUUAGAUGGACGCAAGUCGAUAACAUCAAAGCCUUGAAUUGAAGCCCCAGUGAACGGCGGCCGUAACUAUAACGGUCCUAAGGUAGCGAAAUUCCUUGUCAGGUAAGUUCUGACCCGCACGAAAGGCGUAAUGAUUUGGGCGCUGUCUCAACCAUGGACUCGGUGAAAUCUUAAUACCUGUGAAAAUGCAGGUUACCCGCGACAGGACGGAAAGACCCCAUGGAGCUUUACUGUAGCUUGAUAUUGUGAUCAGGUAAUGUAUGUAGAGGAUAGGUGGUAGACUAUGAAGUAUGGACGCUAGUUCAUGCAGAGUCGCCCUUGGAAUACCACCCUUACGUUGCUUGAUUACUAACUUAUUCCCGUGAUCCGGGAAGAGGACAGUGUCUGGUGGGCAGUUUGACUGGGGCGGUCGCCUCCCAAAAAGUAACGGAGGCGCCCAAAGGUUCCCUCAGAUUGGUCGGAAAUCAAUCGAAGAGUGUAUUGGUAUAAGGGAGCUUAACUGUGAGACUUACAAGUCGAGCAGAUGCGAAAGCAGGGCAAAGUGAUCAGGCGGUAGAGAAUGGAAUUGCCGUCGCUUAACG
rnacentral:rRNA from 1 species